rnacentral:rRNA from 1 species
CACUCCUACGGGAGGCAGCAGUGGGGAAUAUUGGACAAUGGGCGCAAGCCUGAUCCAGCCAUGCCGCGUGAGUGAUGAAGGCCCUAGGGUUGUAAAGCUCUUUCACCGGUGAAGAUAAUGACGGUAACCGGAGAAGAAGCCCCGGCUAACUUCGUGCCAGCAGCCGCGGUAAUACGAAGGGGGCUAGCGUUGUUCGGAUUUACUGGGCGUAAAGCGCACGUAGGCGGACUAUUAAGUCAGGGGUGAAAUCCCGGGGCUCAACCCCGGAACUGCCUUUGAUACUGGUAGUCUUGAGUUCGAGAGAGGUGAGUGGAAUUCCGAGUGUAGAGGUGAAAUUCGUAGAUAUUCGGAGGAACACCAGUGGCGAAGGCGGCUCACUGGCUCGAUACUGACGCUGAGGUGCGAAAGCGUGGGGAGCAAACAGGAUUAGAAACCCCAGUAGUCCC